UACGAAGGGUGCAAGCGUUACUCGGAAUUACUGGGCGUAAAGCGCGCGUAGGUGGUUCGUUAAGUCUGAUGUGAAAGCCCUGGGCUCAACCUGGGAAUGGCAUUGGAAACUGGCGACCUAGAGUGCGGUAGAGGGUAGUGGAAUUCCCGGUGUAGCAGUGAAAUGCGUAGAGAUCGGGAGGAACAUCCGUGGCGAAGGCGACUACCUGGACCGGCACUGACACUGAGGCACGAAAGCGUGGGGAGCAAACAGG
rnacentral:rRNA from 1 species